UACGUAGGUGGCAAGCGUUGUCCGGAUUUAUUGGGUUAAGGGUGCGUAGGCGGCUUUGUAAGUCAGUGGUGAAAUAUGGCAGCUCAACUGUCAAGGUGCCAUUGAUACUGCAGAGCUUGAGUACAGAUGAGGUAGGCGGAUGACGGUGUAGCGGUGAAAUGCUUAGAUAUCGUCAAGAAGCACCUAUAGCGAAGGCAGCUUACUAGGCUGUAACUGACGCUGGAGGCACGAAAGUGUGGGAUCAAACAGGA
rnacentral:rRNA from 1 species